UGCUAGGCAACGGCGGAAGUGGCGGAAAAAAAAAAAGGGGGAAAGGAAAGGAGAGGAGGAGGAGGAGGAGGCGGCGGCGGAGGAGGAGGAGGAGGAGGGCGGCCUGCGGCCUGGCUCAGAGCUCGGAGAGGCCGGACGGAGGGACCCGGAGUCGCUGCCGUCGCCGUUUCCGCUCCUGGUGCUGAAGAGGGCUCGGCCCCACAGAGGCAUCAUGGUGAGGGAGAAGCCGCGGGGCUGUGCCUGGGAUUUGAUGGGCGA